rnacentral:rRNA from 1 species
AUACGGAGGAUCCGAGCGUUAUCCGGAUUUAUUGGGUUUAAAGGGUGCGCAGGCGGGAGAUUAAGUCGGCGGUGAAAUUUUGCAGCUCAACUGUAAAAGUGCCUUCGAAACUGGGUUCCUUGAGUGUAGAUGAAGGAGGCGGAAUUUGUGGUGUAGCGGUGAAAUGCAUAGAUAUCACGAGGAACUCCGAUUGCGCAGGCAGCUUACUAAACUACUACUGACGCUCAGGCACGAAGGCGUGGGGAUCAAACAGGAUUAGAUACCCUGGUAGUCCACGCAGUAAACGAUGAUUACUAGCUGUUUGCGAUACAAUGUAAGCGGCUGAGCGAAAGCGUUAAGUAAUCCACCUGGGGAGUACGUUCGCAAGAAUGAAACUCAAAUGAAUUGACGGGG